GUUAAAGGCAACUGGUCUCAACACUGCAGCAUGGAUCGGAGGCUCCAAUACACUGCAGUCAAGGGCUUUUAAGUGGAACGAUGGAACCCCUAUGACCUACACAAACUGAUGUAUUAAACAGCCUAAUGGACUUGGCCAUCGGUUCUGCAUUCAGAUGAACACUACAUUUGACAAGUGCUGGGAUGACGUGAGCUGUCCUCUUAGGAUGCCGUUUGUCUGCGUCAAGAAAAACUCGCCACCCAAAGGAGCUGCGGCUUCAAACAGAUACAGUGGAGGAUGACUGCUGUGGUGGAAAAUUACUACAAGUUAACAUCUGCUGAUCAUGUCAUAUUAAAUGUUUGUUAACUCUCAGCAAAUGAAGCUAUUUGGGCAACAUGUACACAGUUGAAAGUUGUUUCCCACAGCUGCAUGAGAACCAGACUGUCUUACCCAUUUGUUUUGAAUUCCUUAUCCUUGGUAUAAAACUCAUGUGUUGACUCUGCCUGGCAGAGCUUUUCAUCCAGAUCUGCUUCAUGAUUGAUUGUCCUAUGAGCUCUCCGAGUUGUGCACCAUUCAUAAAAAAACCUGAUUGAGUGAUUUCACCUGAACAUCCAUUUUCUGUGCACCCUUGUCCCUAGUGGGGUCAGGAGGGUUGCUGGUGCCUAUCUCCAGCUAUUUUACCUGAACAGUGCUUGGUAAUCAUUUUUCUCCACAACACUGCUCCAUGUUUUAUUUUUCCUGCAAAAUAAAACACUAAAUAAAGAUUGUGAUAUGAGAAA